ACGAAAUUGACAAGUAUUUCAGUCCCAUAUUUAAGCCCCACCAACACACAUAGCAAAUCAGAAGCUUUGAAUCAAGAAAUUGUUCAUUAAGGUAUAAACCUAACCCUAGAAAUCUGAUCAUUGAUCCUCUGUUAAAAGUUAUGUUUGAGUGUUAAUAUAUGUUGUUUAUAGUGUAUAUUAAUGAUCUGGGUUAAUAGAUAUUAGAUCCAUAACAUCUAUAGGCUCAGAUUUGAAGAUUUCAAGAAUCUGGAAAUUAUUGUUUUUUUGUCUGACAGUCAAAUGUCAGACCUCUUUAAUCUUUGUCUAUUAUGUAUUUUUGUUGUGUGAAGGUAGAUACUUGUAGUAUGUAAUGUGGUCUUUCAUGUGAAACUUAAAUCAUGUCCAGCUCUGUUAUAAAGUAAAAGUUAUAAGUGGUCAAACAGGGUUGACCAGUCACGAAAAUGAAAUUCUGGGAAACCCAGAUUUUUCCAGAAGCGGUCCGACAAGAUGUUUAGGGCUUCUGAUCUUACAAAUGUUUAUGAGUUUAGCUAUGUUCUUGCUUUGAUGUUAUAUACUGGUAUGUGGACUCCAUAUUCAAAUCAUCAGAACACUUAGAUCAUGACCAGGGUGAAAAUUAAUCAUGGUCAAACUAUAGUUGACCAACUGCCUGGAGAAUUUCUAGAAAACCCAGAAAUGCUCAAGAACAUAUUUCUGACAUGGUUUGACCAUGCCAGAUCUUACACAUGUUUUGAUGUUAUAAUGCUCUUAUGUUAUAAACUUGUAUCUUGACAUCUCUU
rnacentral:lncRNA from 1 species